rnacentral:rRNA from 1 species
CUCCUACGGGGGGCAGCAGUGGGGACUAUAGCAUGAUGGGGGGAACCCUGCUGCAGCGACGCCGCGUGAGUGAAGAAGUAUUUCGGUAUGUAAAUCUCUAUCAGCAGGGAAGAUAAUGACGGUACCUGACUAAGAAGCCCCGGCUAACUACGUGCCAGCAGCCGCGGUAAUACGUAGGGGGCAAGCGUUAUCCGGAUUUACUGGGUGUAAAGGGUGCGUAGGUGGCAGGGCAAGUCAGAUGUGAAAGCCCGGGGCUCAACCCCGGUACUGCAUUUGAAACUGUCCAGCUGGAGGGCAGGAGAGGG